UUUGUAGGAACUAAAUGCUUUGUUUCCAAAAAGGAGAGAGGUGGAGAGAGGCCUCGAAGAAGUAAAUGCUGCCUGAAUGGAGGUAGACCAGAGGAGGGAAGAAGGCCAGGUGGCUGGCAGCCACAGAGGAGCUUUCAGAGAAGAACCUGGAAUCCUGAUGAGGAUUUUUGUGUUGUGUAUAAUAUGCACACUGUGAGGUCAACCUCCCUCCCAUCUCCCUCAUCUUCCUCAUUGAGACGAACAACAAAAAUCUCUCUUUCUUGUUGGUGUGGAGAGGCUGAGUUUGUGUACUUUUGUUUGUGUUAUUCUGUUUGAUGCUGUAGGAAGGAGAUGACAAAUACUGAAGCCUUUGAAAUCAGAGGCUUCCAUGAAGACUGAGCACACCAGCAUCAUGUCCACACAGGGAAUCCUCCCAACAGCUGCAGCUUCCAUCCUUUUCCUUUCCUGUUUCCACCCAGUUCUCCUUAUCCUAUUUCAAGAUUGCUAGGGCCCUGUGGAGGCAGCGGUGGUGGGCAGGGAGGUAGUUUUUAAGAAAAGAAGAACCUGGGGAGGCAGGCAGGGCCCAGAGGGGAUUCCACUGCAAGCAGACUUCCCCAGCUUCCCAUAGCUUUGCAGGGACAGGCCCCCACCCCUACCUUCCUCUUGCUUUUUGGCUCUCCCCUCUCCACCAAGCCCCUUCUCUAGCUCCAGGGUCAGUGGUUAAGCAGUGGGUGGUGGACAGCAUAGGUCAACUUGCACAGUCUGGGAGGUGGGGAAGAUGAGGGAAUAAGGAGGAAUAAAGAAGGAAACUGUGAUUAUGAUACUUGAUGCUUUUACAUUUAAGUUUUUGCAGAUGAAAGUUCUCAUUUAUAUUUUACAGAUGAGGAAAUGGGGGCCAAGAGGGAUUUGGUGACAUGCUCAGUGUCACAGAACUAGAAAGUGGGCAGAUUAUUCUUAUGGUAAAAUUUGUGCUACUCCCUCCACCCACUACCCUUCUAUCGUAAGAGGAAGGUGGGACAGUAAGGGAGAUAUUGGAUCGUCAUGUGACAGAGGAAGAAGAAACCUUAAAGAACCUCAACAUUUCACCCCUGAGGAAGCUGAGUCCAGAGAUAGGACUGUUUUGCCGAAAGUCAUCACCAGGUUUUUUCUUCAAAAACUGUGUCAUAGAAAGUGUAGGACGACCACAGGAAGGAGAAAAAAGAAGCAAAACUUCUCAAUCUAUAAAUAUGCCAUUGAGGGUGCCAUUUUAGUACAACGCAGGCAAACUUACGCCCUUCAGUUUAACUCAAUACAUGGAGGACUGUAACCACCUGAAUAUCAGAAUCCUUCAGCUUUGGCUUAGUUCACAAUGUGCAAAGCAAUGACUUGAACAGCAUGGUUUUUGCAGAACUUAAAAUCAGAAUAUUUAACAACAUUCCAGUAUUUCUUGCAAGUGGACCUGUCCUGCAUGUUUUUAUCGUAACAGGGCUAGGGUUAGCAUGCAGGGAAGUACAACCCUAAUAGUUUAAUUCUUUGAAUCCAUCUCUCAUGCCAAAUAUGUGGGCUUUACUGUAUUCUUCAGUGUUCCAUGCGGUUGGAGGCCAAGACUCAAGGUGGCCUAGGGCGAUGACCCCUGUGAAAGGCGUGGCUGCCCAUCCUGGCUCCUCCCCCCAUCCCUGCUGACGCCUGCGCAAAGUGGACUCAGGCCUGAGACACUUGAACUAAUGCUAGCAGAGCUGGGGGCAACCUAGAGUGUGUGCUGAAGGUCGGCUCUGAUUGGUCAAGUCAAAGAGUGAAGAGACUCACGCUGAAGACCUGGUUAUGGAUCACCAUUUCCGAAGCCAGCAAAUGAUACAACGUCUCAGCUGGAGAUCAAUUUUGGAGACAUUGGCCACCCAGGACGUGGUGGCAGGGUAGGAGGAGGUGGCCGUGGGCAUGGUGGACGUCCAACCAUGGCAUCAGGACUAAGUCAAGUGCUUCUGCUUCUCAUGUGGAUGACCUAGAGGCAUUCCCAGUCUGGCUUAAUUGGAUGCCAUAAGACAACCCUGGUUCCGUUGUGGAUCUUCAUUGAGGCCUGCAUGCUUAAGGAUCCCAAACGACUAAGAUAUUAAAGG